UGGGGAAUAUUGCACAAUGGGCGCAAGCCUGAUGCAGCCAUGCCGCGUGUGUGAAGAAGGCCUUCGGGUUGUAAAGCACUUUCAGCGGGGAGGACGGCGGUGAGGUUAAUAACCUCAUCGAUUGACGUUACCCGCAGAAGAAGCACCUGCUAACUCCGUGCCAGCAGCCGCGGUAAUACGGAGGGUGCAAGCGUUAAUCGGAAUUACUGGGCGUAAAGCGCACGCAGGCGGUCUGUCAAGUCGGAUGUGAAAUCCCCGGGCUCAACCUGGGAACUGCAUUCGAAACUGGCAGGGUAGAGUCUUGUAGAGGGGGGUAGAAUUCCAGGUGUAGCGGUGAAAUGCGUAGAGAUCUGGAGGAAUACCGGUGGCGAAGGCGGCCCACUGGACAAAGACUGACGCUCAGGCGCGAAAGCGUGGGGAGCAAACAGG
rnacentral:rRNA from 1 species